GGGUUCGUAGCUCAGCGGAUAGAGCGUUCGCCUCCGGAGCGAAAGGUCGAGGGUUCGAAUCCCUUCGAGCCCA
rnacentral:tRNA from 2 species